rnacentral:rRNA from 1 species
GAAUUUAAACCUCUUCCAGAGUAUCAAUUGGAGGGCAAGUCUGGUGCCAGCAGCCGCGGUAAUUCCAGCUCCAAUAGCGUAUAUUAAAAUUGUUGCAGUUAAAAAGCUCGUAGUUGAAUUUCUGCUGCAUUACAUAUCUCUUGUUUGAGUUUGUUUUUGUGGCUUAUUUCGGUUUGAUUUUUUCUUUCCGGAUGAUUACUUUGAGAAAAUUAGAGUGCUCAAAGCAGGCUUUUGCCUUGAAUAGUUUAGCAUGGAAUAAUAAAGUAGGACUUUGGUUCUAUUUCGUUGGUUUUAGGUACCAAAGUAAUGGUUAAUAGGAACAGUUGGGGGCAUUCGUAUUUAACUGUCAGAGGUGAAAUUCUUAGAUUUGUUAAAGACGAACUACUGCGAAAGCAUUUGCCAAGGAUGUUUUCAUUAAUCAAGAACGAAAGUUAGGGGAUCGAAGACGAUCAGAUACCGU